rnacentral:rRNA from 1 species
CAGCCGCCACGGUAAUACGGAGGAUCCAAGCGUUAUCCGGAAUCAUUGGGUUUAAAGGGUCCGUAGGCGGUCUUGUAAGUCAGUGGUGAAAGCCCAUCGCUCAACGGUGGAACGGCCAUUGAUACUGCAGGACUUGAAUUAUUGGGAAGUAACUAGAAUAUGUAGUGUAGCGGUGAAAUGCUUAGAGAUUACAUGGAAUACCAAUUGCGAAGGCAGGUUACUACCAAUUGAUUGACGCUGAUGGACGAAAGCGUGGGUAGCGAACAGGAUUAGAUACCCUGUAGUCCCUGUCUCUUAUACC